GGUUCAUGAUGACAUAGGACCUUGUCUGAACAAAAUGAUUUCAAAACUUGAGCUUAAAACGAUACUGAAAUC